CACAAAAUUAUCCCUUAAGCCCUUACAAAGGAACCGCUUCUUCUUCUCUUCAUCUGUCUCACUCUCACUUUUAAUUUUUUGCCCUAAAACCCUCACUGCCAUCGUGGUGGCCACCCAAGAAAAGAGAAUAGAGAGCGCAACCAAGUCUUCAUCUUCGACUCACCAUGAAGCUCGUCAAGUUCAAUUCUAGCAACAUUACGCUCAUUUGUCAAAGUCUAUUUUACUGAUUAAGAUGGGGGCUACUUAGUACCAGGUUGCCCUCCUAUUCUCAGCCUCAUCAACUACACGUGUUCAUCUAACAAACAUCUCAAUGUGACCAAUAAGUGUUUCCUCUGCAGCCUACACCUGUCACCACUGCCAAUGAAUUAAUACAGUGAGCAUAUCUAUAUAAGGUGCGUUUGGACUUUGGAUCAUGUCUUAUCUUGAACUUAGGAUGGGUUAAACAUUAUUUUUUAUUAGCUAUGAUAUUUAAUUUAACAUUGUUUUAAAAACAUGAUUCUAAGUUUUAGACUUUUCAUUGAAUUUGAAGCUCUUAGAAAUAGCUUU